rnacentral:rRNA from 1 species
UACAUGGGGUGCAAACGUUGUUCGGAUUCAUUGGGCGUAAAGGGCGCGUAGGCGGCGGGGUAAGUCGGGUGUGAAAUCUCAGAGCUCAACUCUGAAAUGGCACUUGAUACUGCUCUGCUAGAGGACUGGAGAGGAGAUUGGAAUUCACGGUGUAGCAGUGAAAUGCGUAGAUAUCGUGAGGAAGACCGGUGGCGAAGGCGGAUCUCUGGACAGUUCCUGACGCUGAGGCGCGAAGGCCAGGGGAGCAAACGGG